AGGGGGAAGGCUGAGGUCAGCUUGGCUGGGGUGAGGACCUGCCCUCUGUGCAGAUAUUGGAAUGUCUCGGAAUUCCAGCCAAACCGAGUCAGCCAGGGCUGCAUCUCAUGAGAAGUUGCUUUGGGAGGUCACUUGGUCUGCCCUGCUGCUGACUCAGGCGGUCUUCCCUGAGCUAACUAGACUCAGAUGAAUUCGUGGGAAAGACUCCGUCGUCAUUAUUAAGCCCACCAAAAUGGAUAUGGGACCUGAGCUCCACUGUGCCCUUUGGGAGCCUGCAAUUUUUAUCUUGCCUCAUCUCACCUCUGCAGAUGAGGUCCCAGAGACCACUGAAAAAUCUUGCUGUGUCAUCUGACUCUGAAAGUGACUUGGCUUGUCCUCAAUGGAUAGCUGACCCCUCUCUUAUUAUAGCACCUCGGAAAUCCUACCUCGUCAUGAAACCGGGUAGAACAUCAUAAAAAAGGUAGAGAGGAAAUGUCCACGUGAUUGUGUCAGCUCAUGUCUAGAAGCAACCAGAAUUGACUGGGAAGGCACAGAUUCAAGAAGAAGAAAAACAGCACAGGCCCUACCUUUCUCAGUGAGUCCUGAAGUCUGAAGCCGUGAUGAAACUUAUAGUCCCUAAGAACAUCGGUAUGGAUAGCAGCAGUACUGAACGCAAAGUCAACAUAACAACAGGGUAUCCUAAAACUCUUAAGUAUGCUUCAGUCACACAAAGGGUUGUUAAUAAAUCUAAAUUAUUGAGGCCAGAUAGACUGAGUUUAAUGGAUAUUCUUUUGGCAUCAUUUUGUGUACAUAGAUACUAAUGCCAUUUCCAAACUCAACCCUCAUUGUUGGGGAGGAAUAAAUAUUUUAAUGAAUGCUAUAUUUUGUAACAGGCUCUGAACUUCGUGGUUGGUUUAAGCUAAGGGUGCAAUUUCAGGCAUCUAAAUAAGUAAAUAAAUGAGGAAGAAAAUCCAUGUUAAUUGCAGUAAUUUGCGGUACUUUCAAAUUCUUAAUUAAGAAAUAAAAUAGGAUUCAUUAGCCAUGCCCACUGUAGAUGGCACACAUAGAUCACCAUUAUGACCAGUCACAUGGACCUGAAGUCAUUGCCAUAAAUGAAAUAACAGUGAGAAAUCACUGGUGUAUUACCAACCAGAAUGCUCAGGCAUAAAGGGAGGAGAGAGAGCAUCACAAAAUGCUGUCCUCUGUAAAGGCUCCUCUUCCUGCUCUGGAGACUGUAUUAUUCUAAAACCUGUUCCCUGACCCUGGAUUCCUACUCUUUUUUUCCAAUCUUUGGGCUAGGUGGUUCCUUUAGCACCCCCUUCCCCAAUUUCUUUGAGUCUGUCUGGCCACUACUAGUGCCUGAAUCUUCAACUUUUCCCUAGAGGUUUGGGUGCCUGGACUUCAGUUUUUGCCUACCUCAUUGUCUUUGUGAGUCUCAGUAUUCUUGUACAAAGGAAUGUAGAAGGGAACUUUGGUUAUAACCAGAGGCAUUCUGACUCAUACUGCAUCUAGAAAGUUAAGUAUUAUAUUCAACUAGGGAGAAAAUAUAAUUUAAAAAUAAUUUUUGUUUGGAACAAAUGCUUAACUGAACAGGACAUUGGAUACUAAUUGGAACUGUUCCUGGAAAAUUGGAAUGCUAGGCGCCCUGAUGGAAAUCUGUAUAGACUCUCGGGGAGGGGUAGGAAUGGAGUGAUCACAGGUUUUCGGGUGUGUUUAAGGAGCUCUGCCUUGGUAAGGUGAACCAUAGGAGUAAUAUCAAUGUGUAUCUGCAAGCAAGAACACUAAUAAUGUAUCCUGCAUCAGUGGCUGAGAUGACUGGUUGUUGGGAUUCUGGCAAGACCACUAAUGCAGACUGGGCAGGCAUCUACUGGGCCCUCCUUUUCUUACUGUCUGACCUAUCAUCUUACCAAUGUCCAGGAAGGAUGCUCUAUUAAUGAGAUAGGCAUGUGCAGAUGUGAGCAGGCAACUACAGCUACCUCAGUAGAGAGAAGUGUAUAGAGAAUGAGAAAUUUGGAGAAAUCUGAAUGACUCAAGACAAAGAAAGAAAAUAAUCCUUUUGUUGUUGUUUGUUUUUUGUCUUUUUGAGACAGUUUUGCUAUGCUGUUCAGGCUGCACUUGAAUGUACUUUGUAGUCUAGACUGACCUCGAACUUGCAGCAAUCCUCUUGUUUCAGCCUCCUGAGUGCUGAGAUUACAGGCAUGUGCCAUUAUGCCCGGCAAAAAUCAUCCAUUUUUGAUCUCUAAAAGGAAUGUGGGAUCUGACUUGGGAUUAGACUGUAAUGUGUUUUGAGUAGGUGGAGUGGUUAUUUGACAUUUCCUGUAGACUAGAAGAAAGUCAGAAAUGAAUAUUUGUGUCUUAUAUUCCCAUAGGAAAGUCAAGAAAAUAGUCUGAGAUAAAUUUCUUAUUCUCAGGGGGUCAAGUACAGAUUCUUUGAGUCAAAGCCUCCCUGUCUUUUGAGAUAGGUGUCUUCCCUCUAGAAGUUCUAAUGAGACAGGCUGGACGUUGCUUCACUGUCCACUUCUUCUACCCCAUUCCUAAAGACUCCCAUGGAGUUUAUGGGGGCUAAAAUAAGAUCACAUGUAUUGUGGCAUCCUACGUGUAAAAGGAUCCUUCUUUCCUGGCUGCAUCUGGACAAAUGUCAGACCAUCGCAGACAGAGAGGCCUGCUGCUGUGGAUAACAUGAAUGAUUAUCUCCAUUCCUUACAAAAACAAGGGAUAGACAAAAUCAUUCUGUUUUCAAUUUUGUGUAAAGGUAUCAUAAAGAAGAUAAGGAGUUUUCCCAAUCUCUGAAGUAAGUCAAGGAGGAAAAAAAAAUCAAAAUGGAGGCUAUGUACUAGACUAGAAUAAAAAACCCACUGUGUGAUGUGUUCUUAUAGAAUCCAGGCACUCCAGCCUGGCUCAGAUAAUAAAUGGAGCAGGAUGCCAAGAAUAUAAAACAAAAAUGGGUAAAAGUGGGCUAGAGAUGUCUGAAUCGUGGAAAAGGCUAUGGAAAGUGUGCUUCUUUAUACAGUAGGAAGGAAGAGCCAGGAGGAUUCCUUGAUGAAGUUCUUUCGAAAGGCUUUAAACGCAAUUAUGUUUCUACUAUUCCAUUUGAGAAUUGUAACUGAUUAUUUCAUUUUUUUAACAUAUAUUUAUAGAUCAUUUUGUCUUUCUCAGGUAUAAUAUUAAGCGUUAGAGUUUCAGCAGAUGCCCAGGGUUUUAAAAGGACUUUUAACACACCAGGGUUAAGACGGCCCUGCCCACUUUCUUGAAUUCAUUCCAAAACUAAAAGAAAAAUGUGAAGCAGAAAUGCAAAUUCACCUGUGUUGAAGAAGAGCUGCCAAAAGUGAUGCAGGUCCAACCAGGGGCCGGUAGAUGCUGCAAGGAAUCUGCUGCCAAAGACCUUAAGCAAAGCUGGCAGAGAGCAGUCUGUGAAAAGAACCACUGCCUUUUGGGGAGCAACUGGUCUAAAGAGAAUGGGCUAUUUGAGAGCACAUCCCUGGCCUCAUUUGGCUCUGUUGAAAAUAGGGGAGUUAGAAUAAGAAAACAACCAGAACUGCCAUCUAAGCAUAUCUGCUGGAAAAGAAGCCCAGACAGGAAAAGUUCUUUACUAACCAGUUUUGCAACUGCCAAUCCUGUCUUUCUUCUGGAAAGAAGCAAAGGCUAAAUCAUUUCUGUACAUGUAUAUAUGCAUAUGUAUACGCAUAUACAUACACAUACACACCCUUUGUGAUGCAGGGCACCUCCUAUAAACAAAAAGAUUGUGCUCAGUUUGGUCAUAAGUUGGCUGUUAUCCCCCAUAAACGUUUCCAGAAUUCUCAGUUAGGAAAGGGCUUAUCUCAGUCAAUUAAGAGCCAGAAUGAAAAAGAAACCAUCAGAAGGGCUCUACAAAGAUAUUGUAAGAGGAGUCGAUAAUAAUUAGAGAGAACAAGUUAAUGAAGAACAUGUACCAAGUUGUACUGCCAUCAAACAAAAGAAAAAUACGCCAAGAUAGCUAUCAUAGAACUAACCAAUAAAAAAAACCAAAGCUUAGUGAACAAGAUUACUUACAUAAAAGAACUCCAUAAAGAAAUGCAAAAAUGUUUAAAAAAUAAAAAAGCUACUCCCCAAACCCACAAAAUAAAACAUAAAAAUAAAAAACAACCAACCAAACAAGCCCCCCCCAAAAUGAAAAACCAAAACCAAAAA